GUCGUAAUACUGGCAGGCUUCAAGAUUGACAAGUCAGACACCGAUCUCCGUGCUAACAUUAGGGUUUCGAGCCGAUCUUUCGCGCUCAUUUGGAUCCCUGAACGGACCCUCCUCGGGGUUUUCUGUUCAGGGUACUUAGGUAACUCAACUAGGAAAUAGAGCCUUUUGGGUUUCAACUCUUGUUGUGGUUCCAAUGGCUUUGCUCUCACCCCAAAAUGCUUCACUGCUUCUGAUUCUAAUAACACCAUAGUAGGAUAAUUUCUUAGAACCUCGUUGGCGCGGAGUUUUCUGUUCAGGGUAUUUAGGUAGCUCAACAAGGAAAUAGAGCCUUUUAGGUUUCAACUCUUGUUGUGGUUCCAAUGGUUUUGCUCUGACCCCAGAAUGCUUCACUGCUUCAGAUUCUAAUAGUACCAUAGUUGGAUAAUUUUUUAGAACCUCGUUGGC
rnacentral:lncRNA from 1 species